UUUGCCCGCAGGCCCCCAUGUGACAGAGGCUCUUACAAAAGAGUUUGUUUACAUGCAUCAAGUUACCAACAUUUUCCAAGAAAUUAGGGUGUUGACCAAUACAAUCUCAUUGAGAUGGGGUUAUGAGAGUGGUCCCUAAUUCAGUAUGACUGUAUUCUUAUAGAAAGAAGGGAAUUUGAAGGCAGACACACACAGGAAGGGGAACACAUUUAGAAGAUAGAGAUACAGAUUAGAUUUGUGCAAUGGCAAGCCAAGAAAUACCAACGGUUGAUGACGCUAUGGUGUGAAGAUUUGUCUCCUCCAAAACUCAUGUUGAAAUGUAAUCCCCAAGGUAGCAGUAUGGAGAGGUAGAGCCUUGAAGAGGUGAUUGGUCUGCCCUCAUGAAUGGAUUAAUCCAUUGAUGGAUCAAUGGGUUAAUGGAUUAUCAUAGGAGGGGAACGGGUGGCUUUAUAUUAGGAGGAAGAGAUACCUGGGCUAACAUGCUCCACUUCCUCAUCAUGUGAUGUCCUGUGCUACCAUGAGACUCUACAGAGUUCCCAGCAGCAAGAAGGCCCUGAGCAGAUAUGGCCCUCUGACCUUGGACUUCUCAGCCUCCGUGACUAAUGAAGAAGGAGAAGUCAACAUUUGGGAAGUGUUUACCAUGGACCAGGAGGGUCUCAGUGAUUUUGCAGAAAUCGUAAUUGAAGAAAAUGAUGGAAAGGAAGCUUUGAAUAUGGAGUGUUGUUAUUGCACUGACUGGACAACCAGAUGGAGCUAUUCCCAGUCCCCAGCACACAGAUAGAGAAUCUAUUCGACAAUAACUAAAGAGGUGUACAGUUCUAGAACAUUCUGCAACCAGACUUCAGGCACCAGGAGGCCUCCGUAGGCAGGGUUCCUCGGGCUUCUCAGCUGGCUUCCUUGGAGAAAUUUCAUAUGCUGAUUCCUUUCAAUUAUCUGUCAAUUUUCAAAAUGCAAAUAGAAACAUGCAGUCAUCACUUUGGUACUCACCAGCUGAUUUCUUCCAAGCACCCAGACCAUAAGUGAAUGCAGUUCAAUAUGUUCUCUUCCUUUUUUUAAGUGGAGUUAAUAUUACUGAGCAGAUUUUGGUUAGCUUCCAGGAACCCAGUGUGUGGAGAGGCAGAAUUUUAUUUUAGAAGCACAAGUUGGUUUGAAAAAUGUGAACUUACCCCAACUCUUUCUUUGUUUCAUCUUUCUUACUAGACAUGUUUUAUUUUCCUAAAGAAAACAUAAAUAAAAACAAAAAAAAAUUCUUCAUUGAUACACACACACACACACACACACACACACAUACACAAUUUAGGUCAAAUUAUUUUUACUACUUAGGAUGUCUUUAGUUAUUUUACAUAUUUAUAACACAGAAAAAAAGUAAGAAGAAAAGGAAAAAUGGUGUAUAAUCUUAAGACCAGGAGAUAACCAAUAAUAAAUAUUUUGCUAUAAUUUCUUUUCAUAUUCUAUGCAUAUACAUUUUAUGGAAUUGAGUUCACACUGUUCACAUAAUUUUGCUUUCUCUAUUUUGCCUUUACCUUUAUCAAUAAGCAUUUUCUUUAUAUCCUUAAAAUUUCUUUAUUAACGUAACCUAAUACAUAUGCACAAAAUGUUACCUAAUCAUUCGCCUGUUUAAGGGCAUUUGGUAAUUUCCAAUAUUUUUUCCUUCACGAUUUCGGGUAAUGUUUAAAUAAACCAAUUUAUGGAAAAGAGCUACCUAUGUUGGAUUACUUGCUUAGAAUGAAUUCCUGGAAAUAGAAUUACUGGGUCAAAGGGUACCAACAUAUUUAAUGUCCCCAAAGGCAUAUUGGCAAAUUGCCUUCCAUACAAAUUAUACCAAUUCCCCCUCUGUAACUAGUAUAUAAAAGUGCCUGUUUCACAGUAUCUCCCCUGCUCCAAGAUCUUGUAAAAUCUCUGCAAAUUUGAAAAAUGAAAAAAAUGAUAACUGUUGCCUGGAACAAUUUGUUAAAAGAUGCACUGAGCAAUACAUUUAUUUUUAAAAUUUUUCAUCUCACAAAGAAAUAUAAAAGCUUAUACACAGGAUGUUUUCUGACCAAUAAAUGCUAAAAAGCCAUAAUGUUUCAUCAUACAUAGUAGAUUAUUUUGUUCGAAAACCUAUUACAUUUUGCAUGCUGCUAUAGCAGUCUUUCUAGUCCAGAAAACACUUCACUAAAACAGCAACAAUAUCAGUUUACUGCAUAAGAUUGCCGGCAGCUCACACUAGAUUCUAAACACGAUUGAAUAGGCAUCUUUAAGAGUGGAAUAUCCAUGACUUAUCUUGCCAGGCUUGGUACUAUGCCAGUGGAGAAGGUGGAUGGUGCCAUUGUUAUUUGGGCAGCCAUGCCGAUCUCAAGGAGGAAAGCUGAAAUUGUUUGAAAACCUGGUUUAAGACAGUCUUUUUGAGAUUUAGCCCUAGAGAACACUCAACUAAACAACCAAGAGAGGC
rnacentral:lncRNA from 1 species